UUUGUUCAAUGAUCUAAUUUAUAUGAUACAUCACUGAAUGUGUGUAUGGAUGCCACACAAGAUAGCUAAGUCAACUUGCUAGAUAUUAUAGUCUAACUUUACAGGAUUCUUAGGAGCAGCCAAUCUACAUAAAGAUGUUUCUGCGUAAGUUUUCGAAGUACUAGAUUGGAAUUGCACUUAUCAAGCUGGUUUAGUUAGAGGAGGGAAAUUUGGUGAAAGAAACUGUUGCUAAAUGCAAUACCUGACGCCAUAAAAAACCUUGGGUUUGGUUUUCAAUCAUGUUGCAGCAUGGCACUGGCAGGAACUAGGAAGGUUUCAUUUUUACCAAUAGCUGAAAAAAGUUUUUGAAGAAACAAUACAAAGAGGCAAAGGAGAUAUAAUUUACUUGUGGCAUACUUUGACGUUUGAUGGUGGGAAUGCAGGAAUUGGUGAUGCGCUUGUGAUAUGGUCAAUGUGUGAUAUGUUCAGUCCUGGACAUUUGCUGGUUUGUUUCUCUAAAUAACAGUUGACAUGUGAUUAUUUAGCAUAGUAGGUGAUGAAUUCAUCGGACAUGUCUUAGAUUAAUGCCAAGAGUUCCACUUUAAUUUUCUAUGAGUUUGAGUGAGGGUCUUUUGCUUGCCAUCAUCUUAUCAUGUUUUGCACAUAUACAGAUUAUUUCUUCCUAAACUUCUGAUAUCUCUGAGAAUUGAGCCUAA